GGAAUUUUGGACAAUGGGCGCAAGCCUGAUCCAGCCAUUCCGCGUGCAGGAUGAAGGCCCUCGGGUUGUAAACUGCUUUUGUACGGAACGAAACGGCGCUUUCUAAUACAGAGCGCUAAUGACGGUACCGUAAGAAUAAGCACCGGCUAACUCCGUGCCAGCAGCCGCGGUAAUACGGAGGGGGCGAGCGUUAUUCGGAAUUAUUGGGCGUAAAGGGCGCGUAGGCGGCCCGGUAAGUCAAAGGUGAAAUCCCUCGGCUCAACUGAGGAACUGCCUUUGAAACUGUCGGGCUUGAGGCCGGGAGGGGGUAGCGGAAUUCCCAGUGUAGCGGUGAAAUGCGUAGAUAUUGGGAGGAACACCGGUGGCGAAGGCGGCUACCUGGACCGGUUCUGACGCUGAGGCGCGAAAGCGUGGGUAGCAAAC
rnacentral:rRNA from 1 species